AAUUGAAAUUGUGCUUCACCGUAGAAAGCAGGUGCCCCUCCUGGGGCUUAAUAUCCCGCCGAGGUGGAGACCGGAAGUGUGUGAAAGCGGCUACCUUUGAGGUAGUUUCCAGGUCUUUGCCCGGCGCCCUGCAGGCAAAGACCUUUAUUUUUGUGGAA
rfam:Thermanaerothrix daxensis strain GNS-1 contig_1, whole genome shotgun sequence.